AACGCUAGCUACAGGCUUAACACAUGCAAGUCGAGGGGCAGCAUGAUUGAAGCUUGCUUCAAUCGAUGGCGACCGGCGCACGGGUGAGUAACACGUAUCCAACCUGCCGAUAACUCGGGGAUAGCCUUUCGAAAGAAAGAUUAAUACCCGAUAGUAUAGUAUUUCCGCAUGGUUUCACUAUUAAAGAAUUUCGGUUAUCGAUGGGGAUGCGUUCCAUUAGAUAGUUGGCGGGGUAACGGCCCACCAAGUCAACGAUGGAUAGGGGUUCUGAGAGGAAGGUCCCCCACAUUGGAACUGAGACACGGUCCAAACUCCUACGGGAGGCAGCAGUGAGGAAUAUUGGUCAAUGGACGAGAGUCUGAACCAGCCAAGUAGCGUGAAGGAUGACUGCCCUAUGGGUUGUAAACUUCUUUUAUACGGGAAUAAAGUGGAGUAUGCAUACUCCUUUGUAUGUACCGUAUGAAUAAGGAUCGGCUAACUCCGUGCCAGCAGCCGCGGUAAUACGGAGGAUCCGAGCGUUAUCCGGAUUUAUUGGGUUUAAAGGGAGCGUAGGCGGGUGCUUAAGUCAGUUGUGAAAGUUUGCGGCUCAACCGUAAAAUUGCAGUUGAUACUGGGUACCUUGAGUGCAGCAUAGGUAGGCGGAAUUCGUGGUGUAGCGGUGAAAUGCUUAGAUAUCACGAAGAACUCCGAUUG
rnacentral:rRNA from 1 species